GGGCCCGCACAAGCGGUGGAGCAUGUGGUUUAAUUCGACGCAACGCGAAGAACCUUACCUGGGUUUGACAUGUGCAGGACAGGUGAUGAAAGUCACUCUCCCUUCGGGGCCUGUGCACAGGUGCUGCAUGGCUGUCGUCAGCUCGUGUCGUGAGAUGUUGGGUUAAGUCCCGCAACGAGCGCAACCCUCGCCCUCUGUUGCUACCGGGUCAUGCCGGGCACUCUGAGGGGACUGCCCCGGUGAACGGGGAGGAAGGUGGGGAUGACGUCAAGUCCUCAUGGCCUUUAUGUCCAGGGCUACACACGUGCUACAAUGGUCAGGACAAUGGGUCGCUCCCUCGCAAGAGGUUGCCAAUCUCAAAAACCUGCCCCUAGUUCGGAUGGUCGGCUGCAACUCGCCGGCCUGAAGCUGGAAUCGCUAGUAAUCGGAGAUCAGCACGCUCCGGUGAAUACGUUCCCGGGCCUU
rnacentral:rRNA from 1 species